rnacentral:rRNA from 3 species
AAUUUUUAUGGAGAGUUUGAUCCUGGCUCAGGAUGAACGCUGGCGGCGUGCCUAAUACAUGCA